CCUAGCCUUAGACGCUGACUCCUCCUUAUUCCCCUCUUGACGCCGAACCCUUGCUCCCGACGCUGACUCUCCCGAUUUCCUUUUCCUCCUCACCGUCGACCCUCCUCACACAUUCCUCUCCUGAUCUUCUCCUCAUCGUCGCCUAUGCCCUAAUUUCUUCUCAUCCGCCGCACCUUCCGAUUGUUCUCCUUCUCGGUGCUCAGCUUGGCGACGCCGCAAUCGUCCAUCCCCACCAUCGCGGCGUGUCCCGCGACCACCACUUCAGCGUUGGUCACUAAGGCUCGGGAGGAGCUCGUCCUCGCAUCGUCGCCGACCACCAUUGCCUGACGUCGGACACCAACCGCUGCACACUGCCUCCUCUUCCUCGAGCCUCCACUUCUCCUUCUCUACAUCCCGUCGUCGACGACAUUCUCCUGCUCUUCAUCACUGGUGCAGACCACCAUUGACUCCUCGUUAGGGCUUGGACCAACAACGCUUAACACGACCUUCAAUCAACCCUCCACUUUCGAUUGUCGCAAGCCAUAGCGUCGAGCCACAUCUCGUAGCAGGGUAGCAGCUGAAGCCACUCGAGAAAUCAUUGCCAGUAAAUCUAUACAUUUUGCCUCCACCGUCGCACAGUUUCCUUCGUCGGAAUUGAAUCGCGGCCAUCGACUCCGAAUCUCAGCAAUAGUCAACAUUUCAAGCGGCCACCAGUAUCCACUACUCUCACACGCCGAGCUCUUUUUUUCCCAUUGAUCGGGAGGUGCUUCGUAGCCCUAUUGCCACCCCGAUCGCUGAGCACAGCGCCGCCAUGAGCGACAGAUUACCCGACGUAGUCGUACUCUUGCUUCGGUCACCAACAGAAGACCGUCAGAGUGUCCUGUUGCCGACAAUCACAUUGGAGAGAUCAGCAGCUCCAUUGUAGAUUCGGACAUCAUUUGUUGAGAGUGAUUCAUCAUUUCUCAGCAGCAAGUAUCUCUGGCUGUGUGAUAACAACAAAGUCUCCGAUUUUAGGACGUUGAUUCGAGACAAACGUCUCGACGUGGGAUUUGUUCUGAUACGAACUAUAGAUAAAGGCAGGUUAGCACAUAGAUAUGUCGUGUCACUUGGAGUAUCCUAUCUGCCGGUCCCACGUCACAUCAGAAGACAGUUUACCUCGCUCUUGAUUUCUUUUUAUAUAUUCUUUAUUGAUUUAGCAUUGUAUUGGUAUUUAGCCAUGUGGCUAUUUCGUUGUUUUGGUGUUGUAUUUAUUUUUAAGUUGUGUCAGCACGCAUUGUGUUGUUUUAGUUUGUAUGGGCAUUCCUUUUGUUUUUCUGUUGUAUUCGUAGUACAACCGUGUGGCUGUUAUAUAUAUAAGUGUGUGGUUGUGGUUAUUUUGUUCCAA